UUAGAGGAGAGGGAGUCAAUCAUUUGUAUUAAAAAUGUAAAAUAGUACAAAACUUGUUACUCGAAACACCAGAAAAGAAAUACCAAUACCAUACACAGAAAGAAAGAAUCGUUGAAUGCAAAAACAUAAAAGAAAGAGAGAGAGAGAGAGAGAGAGAGAUUGUUGCAGCGAGUGGAAACUGUAAAGGUGGGGAGUUUGAGUAAAGCGCCGAGCGAUAAAAGCUGGCUUCGGAUAUCUGGAAACGACUUUUCCCACGACGAGGCAGAGCUCCACUCAUUCCACGCAUUCAAUUCGGCUUUGCCCCACCAUCUCUCCUCCCUCCCGCUAUGCAGAUCAACGUCUUCAGGCUCUGCUCCGGCCUUAAAUUCCUCGGCUACCUUAUGAUCCUCUUGGUCGCCGCCAUCAUUGCCGUCUCUUACUAUGCCGUUGUUGUCUUCAUCUGUGGACCCCAGCUCCUUCGUGGUGGUCUCCACUCCUUCUUCGCCUUCUCUGUCAUCGUACUCUUCCAUGCUCUGCUUAUCCUAUUAUUGUGGAGCUACUUUAGGGUAGUCUUUAAAAACCCUGGUGCUGUCCCUGAAAAUUGGAAACCUUCAGCGGAGGAAGAUAAUUUGCAGGCUAGUGCUUAUCCUACACAUUCAGAUCAGUUAGCUCCUGAUGCUUCGUCUUCCACACAGUCUUUAGAUGGACUAGAAAGAAGACAGCCAGCAGGCUAUUGCACGCGUUGCCAAACUGGCAAGCCACCACGAUGUCAUCAUUGUUCUGUUUGCCAAAGAUGUGUGCUUAAGAUGGAUCACCAUUGCAUUUGGGUGGUGAAUUGUGUAGGAGCCCACAACUAUAAGUUUUUCCUUCUUUUUUUGCUUUAUACAUUCCUGGAGACGACAAUGGAUACUUUAGUUUUGCUGCCUCAUUUUUUCAAAUUCUUCGGUGACGCCAAGAAUCGUUCCACUUCUGCUGGAAAUCUUGCUGUUGUUUUUACAGCUUUUGUUCUUAAUUUGGCCUUUUCGUUGAGUCUUCUUUGUUUCAUUAUUAUGCAUGCAACCCUUGUAUCUAGCAAUACUACGUCUGUGGAGGUUUAUGAGAAGAAAAGAGCAGUUAGAUGGCAAUAUGACCUUGGAAAAAAGAGGAAUUUCGAGCAGGUUUUUGGAACGAAAAAGGUACUUUGGUUCUUCCCAUUGUUCUCGAAAGACGAUUUGGACAACAUACCUGCACUUCAAGGCCUAGAAUUUCCAACACGUGCUGAUGUUGAGGUUUGAGGCCUGCAAGCUUACAACUUACCAUCCAGGAUAAUGAUUUUCAUGCAUGACAAGGGGAAGUUGUAAAGCCAAAGUUGUUGCUUAUUAGUGGAAGCUGCCUGAAGAUGGUACUUUGUUCAGUGAUGUAGAUGAAAGUGUGGACUACUCAAGUCAACUAUAGAAGGAGGCCUUUCAAUCCGUUGGUCGUGAAACUUUAUACCAUUUUAGAUUGAACUAGCUAUGACUGAAAAAGGUUGGGUUUUAACUCUUUCUCUAUUGCCUUAGACGGCUUAUCUGCAGUUAGUAUGCUCAAUGGAAUUUCUCCUUGCCAUG